rnacentral:rRNA from 1 species
ACGGAGGAUCCAAGCGUUAUCCGGAAUCAUUGGGUUUAAAGGGUCCGUAGGCGGCCUUAUAAGUCAGUGGUGAAAUCCAGUCGCUUAACGAUUGAACUGCCAUUGAUACUGUAAGGCUUGAAUUAAAGUGAAGUAACUAGAAUAUGUAAUGUAGCGGUGAAAUGCUUAGAUAUAACAUAGAACACCGAUCGCGAAGACAGGUUACGAAUUUGUUAUAGACGCUCAUGCACGAAAGCGUGGGGAUCAAACAG